rnacentral:rRNA from 1 species
GCAUAAUUUUUUGUGAUGCAUUUACUUGAUUGGUGCUUGGGGAUGUUUGAGGCAGAUUUGUUUCCGUCGUUUUGAGGCCAGCUUGCUGGUACCCAAACGGUGUUAGCAUUUUUUGUCUUGGACAUUUGAGUAUGGCUCACGUGUAUUUAUUGGACAGAUCUGAGUGUAAGUUACGGUCGCAUGCGACACGUGCUUUUCAAUUAGUUCGGUCCAGUUAAUGCUCUCGUACUCGUUCCCCAUGUAAAAGCCGGUCAUCUAUCCGACCCGUCUUGAAACACGGACCAAGGAGUUUAUCGUGUGCGCAAGUUUUUGGGUGUUAAAAACUUAAAAGCGAAAUGAAAGUAAAUGACUCUUUAGAGUCUGAUGUGCGAUCUUGUAAAAAAGUGUAGCAUGGCCCCAUUCUAACUGUUUACAGUAGGGUGGCGGAAGAGCGUACGCGGUGAGACCCGAAAGAUGGUGAACUAUUCCUGAGCAGGACGAAGCCAGAGGAAACUCUGGUGGAAGUCCGAAGCGGUUCUGACGUGCAAAUCGAUCGUCUGACUUGGGUAUAGGGGCGAAAGACUAAUCGAACCAUCUAGUAGCUGG